rfam:Xenopus tropicalis strain Nigerian Chr03_contig_3074, whole genome shotgun sequence.
GUUUCUGUAGUGUAGUGGUUAUCACGUUCGCCUCACACGCGAAAGGUCCCCGUUUCGAAACCGCGCAGAAACA